CGGGAAUUAUUGGGCGUAAGCGCGCGCAGGUGGUUUCUUAAGUCUGAUGUGAAAGCCCACGGCUCAACCGUGGAGGGUCAUUGGAAACUGGGAGACUUGAGUGCAGAAGAGGAAAGUGGAAUUCCAUGUGUAGCGGUGAAAUGCGUAGAGAUAUGGAGGAACACCAGUGGCGAAGGCGACUUUCUGGUCUGUAACUGACACUGAGGCGCGAAAGCGUGGGGAGCAAACAGGAUUAGAUACCCUGGUAGUCCACGCCGUAAACGAUGAGUGCUAAGUGUUAGAGGGUUUCCGCCCUUUAGUGCUGAAGUUAACGCAUUAAGCACUCCGCCUGGGGAGUACGGCCGCAAGGCUGAAACUCAAAGGAAUUGACGGGGGCCCGCACAAGCGGUGGAGCAUGUGGUUUAAUU
rnacentral:rRNA from 1 species